rnacentral:misc_RNA from 1 species
AAUAUCAGUAUUUUUAUACACAACAGAACUGUUCGAUUAACGUAUACAAUAUUUCAACACUUCCAACGUAUAUACUCUUGUCAAUCUUGGACAAAUCAAAGCCACUACUAUAUUGUAGAUACAAAAAUUGACCAGACCCUCUAAACUAAAACUAGUAAACAAGAAAUACAAUAUAUAGCUACCUUUACAUGAAAAAUGAAUGGCAACCCGCUUGCACGCAAUCUCAUGAUUGAAUAUACUUACCAUACUAUGACUUGGAGACAACACUGUCAAAUAUCAAUUGGCUACAUGCUACAGACAGACACAGAGAGAGAGGAGGGGAAGAGUAUUUUACAGGGGGUGGGAAAAGCAAUGGAAAAUUAUGUGAAGAGAGGUCGAGAUUCUUCUGAAUCCAUGGCACUAGGAAUGUGUCCAACAACUUAUCAUAGUGCUAGAUUUUUUAUGAAUCACUCCAAGAAUCCUCGUCAUCCUCUUCAUCACUUCCAGCAAAGGCCUGGCGAAUUGUUUUUGCUUUCUCCAAAAUUGCAGCAACUCUCAGAUUAGUCUGAGGACCCUGAAUACUAGGCCUUGUUGCAACCGUUGGAUAUUUACAAGAAAAUUACUUAUCCUGUGCCUGCCAAGGAUUCCGUGCAAUUUGUGUAUUUGUUUUGUAAUUUGAUUACAAAGACUUUCCUUAACGAGCAGAGAAGGUUGAAUGCUGCCAUGGGAGCUUCUGCAAUUGCAAAGCCUGAAAUUAGAGAGGAAGUUGAACAACUUGACAAGAUCAAGACAGUUGGCAAGGAUAAAAUUUAUGUUCUGCCUUAUGAAAGAUUAGAACCUGCUUCUGAGGAUGCUACCGAGACUAAGCAGCUACUGGACAAACUUGUCGUGUUAAAGUUAAAUGGUAAUUUGGGAUCAGAUAUGGGUUUCAGUGGACCAAAAUCUGCACUUGAAGUAUGUAACGGGUUAACUUGUCUAGAUUUGGUCGUCAAUCAUAUUGAGUCCAUUAACUCAAAAUAUGGUUGCAAUAUUCCAUUGCUGAUGAUGAAUACUCCUAGUACACAUGAUGGCAUCAUGAAGGUUUUGGAGAAGCACCCAAAUAAAAAUAUCCACACUUUCACUCAGAGCCAACGUCAACAAGAAAAUGUUGAAGAUAUGUUAGAGUCGCGGACCCUCAAUAAAUCAAGCGCACAGGAAAAGUUAUAUCCAUCCAACCUGCUGGAUGUUUUCCUUUCUUUGAACAGCAGUGGGAAGCUUGAACCACUAAUUUCACAGGGUAAGGAGUAUUUCCUACUGCUGCAGUCAGAAAACCUUGCUGAAGUUGUUGACCCAAAAAUUCUGAAUCAUUUGAUUAAAAACAGCAUAGAACAUUGCGUCGAGGUAAUGCCUACCACCUCAGGAACGGAAGAGACAAGUCUUCCGCCUCAGGAAGGAAGGAUUCAGUCAAAGUCGCAUGUCAAAUCAAUCAAUACAAUGUGGAUGAGUAUGAGCUGCAUUGAGAGGCUACUACAAAGAAGUGAUCUAGGUUUUACCAGUUCUAAGUUUUUCGAUCGAGCAUUUGCUAUUGAUACUCCAUGGUCAAGAUACCUUCCAGUUGAGAGAACAUCAGAUUUGCUCAUUUUGCAGUCAGAUCUCUACACCUCAGUUGAAGGCACUCUUGUGAGAAAUGCAGCAAGAGCAAAUCCCAAGGAUCCUUCUAUUGAGCUAGGACCUGAGUUUGGAAAUGUUGAUGAUUUCCGUAGUCGUUUCAAGUCAAUUCCAAACAUUAUAGAACUUGACAGCUUGAAGGUGACAGGGGAUGUGUGGUUUGGAACUGGCACAACUCUAAAGGGGAAAGUCAGUAUUGCUGCAAGACCAGGCAUGAAAAUAGUUAUUCCUGAUGGAAUGGAGCUUAAAAAUAGGAUCAUCACCAGCCAGUCAGACAUUGGAGGACCGAGUUCCUUGUAGAUGGGAUUCUGCAAUAUGAAUGUAUAUCUUAACUCGAAGAGGUAUUUAUCAUCAUACCAGGUGAUUACAAGCCUGAAGACUGAGUCCCAAUCAAAAUCUGCAUUUGGAUGUUUAUGAAAAAUGAUAGGCAUCAGAAUUUUGUUGUAAUAAAGGUUGUUUUUUCUCUACUGUUCCUAGAUUCAGUUUUUUUUCAGAAGGAAAGUAGAGACAAGUGAAGAGGAAGAGAAAUCAUCAUAAAUGUGUCAUCG